ACUGGCCCAAGAGAACAGCUACGAACAUUGCUAGGACUCACCAUGAUCGCCAUGCUCACAGUGCUGCUAUACCUUGGUCUUAUUCUGGAACCCAGGACUGCAGUACAGGCAGGACGCCUUCCAAAGCCCAUCAUCUGGGCUGAGCCAGGCUCUGUGAUCGCUGGGUAUACAUCUGUGACUAUCUGGUGUCAGGGUUCCUGGGAGGCCAAGAAUUAUCAUCUGUAUAAAGAGCGAAGUGUAGAUCCUUGGGACACUCAAAUCCCUCUGGAAACCAGGAAUAAGGCCAAGUUCAACAUUCAUCACAUGACAACCAUUUAUGCAGACAUAUAUAAGUGUUACUAUCAGAGUGCUGCUGGCUUCUCAGAGCACAGUGAUGCCAUGGAGCUGGUGAUGACAGGAGCAUAUGAAAAUCCUAGCCUGUCAGUCUGGCCCAACAAGGAUGUGACCUCUGGCAUUUCCAUAUCCUUUAAGUGCAGCUCAUCCAAAGUAUUUGGCAGAUUCAUUCUGAUCCAGGAAGGAAAACAUGGCCUCUCAUGGACCCUGGACUCACAGCAUCAGGCCAAUCAGUCAUUCCAUGCUACUUUUGUUCUGGAUGCUGUUACUCCCAACCACAAGGGAACAUUCAGAUGCUAUGGCUUUUUUAGGAAUGAACCACAGGUGUGGUCAAAAUCAAGUAACUCCCUUGACCUCAUGAUCUCAGAAACCAAGGAUAAGUCCUCUACACCCACUGAAGAUGGACUGGAAACAUACCAGAAGAUUUUGAUUGGAGUCCUGGUGUCAUUCCUCCUGCUUUUCUUCCCCCUGCUUUUUCUCAUCCUCAUCCAAUACCGGUGUCAUCACAAAAAGAAGGCUAGUGCUUCUGUGAAGAACACACAAUCUGAGGACAAUGCAGAGCUGAACAGUUGGGACUGUGAACAAAGCAAAGAACAGAACUCCUCACCCAGUCCAAGUUCACCUCAAGGCUAGAAAAUGAGCUGUGUAUAACUGAAGAAAGUGGUGUGGAAAACGGAACAGAAAAUACAUAGUGUUUGAGGCACACAGGGCUUUUGUGAAUCAUAAGAGAAAUCUCUGACUAGGAUCAUUCUGAGGAUAACCUUGAAUGGAGAAGUCCACAGACAUCUAAUGAACCAGGGCACAUAGGCAGACAAUACAGCAGAUACAGUCCUCAGACAUGAAAAUGAGGAUGUAGCUGGAGCUGAGGAAAUGGGAAUCAGUGUGACAAGAAAAGGCUGGAACUAUGAGAAGGAAGCUUCCAGGCUUCCCAAGUGCUGGGGAAGCAUCUUCAGGCCCCAGCAGAAAUGAUAUAAUGUGAUAAAAUUCCAAAAAGGAUCUCUCUGGCUGAAGGAGAUACUGGAUGGAACCAGGAGUCACUUUAUCCACCUCAUUGUCUCCUUGCUGCAGAACCCACAUAAUGAAGACCCCCAGGGAAUUGUGUACGCCCAGGUAAAACCCUUCAGGCUUCAGAAGGAUACUGCAUCCAAAGGGACCCAGGUU